UAGCUUAUAAAAAAGUGAAGUGUUAUUGGUGAGGACUGGAGAAAAGAGAAACUACAAUUUACUAAUUGGAACAGUCCACGAACCAAUUUCAGAAAUAAAGGACAGUUUAUGUGUCUAACUUGAAGCGACAUAUGGUCAUAGAGUUAGCAAAAGGGAGGAAUUGGUGACAUUAGAGUUACUUAUGAUGGUCAGCUUGUACGCAUGACUGGUCGGUCAGUACUUUCCAGCAGCAGGAGUUACAGACACAUUCUCAAUGAACCUCCAUUGUCCCACCUGAAGUUUCUUAACACGAGCCAAGAAGAGUCUCUUGCAGGUACAAUGAAUCUUAACACCCUACAAUAACAUUUGGUAUAAUAUAGUUUAACAGACUGCAAUACAACCUUUGAGAAACAUAAAAGUUAUGUCAUGGAAACACUUACUGUCUUAUCUGCGAGUAUGAACUGCAAAGAGUCUCCACCGGGAUAGUUAGAACGCUGUGUCCAUGAAUGUAGAACCUUUACUUCAACCUUCCAAGUUGAUUUAAAUGGUUUGACAUCGUUCAACAAAGUUAUUCGGUCUGAUGUAACCAUUGCCAUUAGCUUCUCUGUUUUUUUAAUAGUGAGUUGUAGAAAGUGUUAGGCAAUGGGAAGAUGUUUUAUAGUGAUAUGUUUCUAAAGAUUAGAUUGAAGGAGUAUCGUUAGGAUAUUUUGAUUUGCAUAUUUUAUGAAAUCGAAAACAAAUUCUGGUUACUCUAUUUUGUAGGAGUUGUUAUAUUCGGUUAAGAUAUGGAACACAUAAGAAUGUAAUUGUUAAGCUGAUAAAUAUGGCGUUCGAAAUAUAAGGUUCGAAAUAUAUGGACGAAUAUCUUGGGAAAAGAAUAUCCAAUCUUUAGAGGAUAGAUGUGAGUACAUUUAUUCUUUUGGUUAGAAUAUUCUUUUAUACUUGAUUUUGAUAAUCAAAUAUAUUUAACGAUGGGAGACAGAUACAAAAUGUAAAUGAACGUAAGUCCUGAAUCAUAUAGUUGGCUUCAAUAGAUAAAAAAAAUCAUAUGUGAUGUAAUUAGAUAACAAUGAUGAAAUUUUACAAUUUCUAUGAUGUAAACUUAUAUUCAGAUAAUAUUAUGUUCAUAAUAAAAUUCUGUAUAACUGGGAAUGUUUGAUAUGGUGAAUAAUGAUCAAAGUAUGUAUUACAAUUUGUUGGUAUAAAAACUGGAAUGGUAUGUAUUACGAUUUGGGUACAUUUAAAAUGUAUAUUUGUCUAAUGUAAUUAUUAAAACUGGAAUGGUAGGUAUUGCACGUGGAGAGUGUGAUAACCAAAUUUAAAUAAAGUUUUAACGUUGGUUUUGUCUAAGUUAGGUAUGAAGGAUAACCGAUUAGAUGUGUAUUUCUAUGUUGGUUUAAAUUAAGUUGUAAGUUAAACUGAUAUAUUCAAGGAACCAAACACAUUUCCAUGUCCAAACAUUUGCUAUUCUAAAGGUAGUCCAAAUUUAAAUGACAACUUGUAAAUGGUAGAUAUUAAAUAGGAUUCUGUUUUAAUAGAUUAGAUUCUCGAGACCAUCUCUCUUAUCAAUACUAACUGAUUAAAAUCCACGGUUACGUAUGUUUUAUACAUAUGCGCAUGCAUAUAAAACUAUAUCACAAACUCAUAAUGCGCAUAACAGACAAUACUAACUAAUUAAAAUCCACGGUCACAUGGAAUAACAGUCGUGUAGUAUAGACAUGUUCAUAAUGACAAUCCUAAAAUCUGUCUAUUACCUUUUAACCGUGUAGGUAAAAGUAAAACUAUAUUAAAGCACACACAAAAAUAUUAAAAAA